UACGGAGGGUGCAAGCGUUGUUCGGAAUCACUGGGCGUAAAGGGCGUGUAGGCGGUCCGCUAAGUCUGAUGUGAAAGCCCGGGGCUCACCCCCGGAAGGGCAUUGGAAACUGGCGGACUCGAGUCUCGGAGAGGAAGGUGGAAUUCCUGGUGUAGCGGUGAAAUGCGUAGAUAUCAGGAGGAACACCGGUGGCGAAGGCGGGUCUCUGGGCCGAUACUGACGCUGAGGAGCGAAAGCGUGGGGAGCGAACAGG
rnacentral:rRNA from 1 species